rnacentral:rRNA from 1 species
UACGUAGGGGGCUAGCGUUGUCCGGAUUUAUUGGGCGUAAAGCGUGUGUAGGCGGCCAGGUAGGUCCGCUGUGAAAACUCGAGGCUCAACCUCGAGACGUCGGCGGAAACCCUCUGGCUAGAGUCCGGAAGAGGAGAGUGGAAUUCCUGGUGUAGCGGUGAAAUGCGCAGAUAUCAGGAAGAACACCCGUGGCGAAGGCGGCUCUCUGGGACGGUACUGACGCUGAGACGCGAAAGCGUGGGGAGCGAACAGG